ensembl:lncRNA
CUAAUCAUACCUCAUGGUUGGAGGCCUGGCUGCCCAAAUAUUUCCAGCCUUCUGGAAAAUUAAAAUAGAGGGAGUUUCAUGCAGGCACACUAAGGCAUAGUGUUUAAGACUGACGGACAAAAUGUUGGUAACAGCUGAAGCUGAAGGUUGGGUACCUGGAAGUUCAUUAUGCUAUUGUCUACUUUUUGGAUGCUCAGAAAUGUCCACCAUAGGAAGUUAAAAAGUGCUCUUUAACCAACACCUGAGGUGGUGAUUAUGUUGGAAUUUGGGAUGUAUGUAGAUUGGAAGAGUGAAUAAAAAGAUUCUGUUGAGUUUGAAAUAUAUGGCUUCCUUUGGUCAGCUUAUAACUGAAAGUUUCAUUUUGAACAUGAGGAAUUAGCUUAAAUCAUUGGACAAAAAUGUGCCACAAAUCCAGUUCCUUUCUCUCUAUUAAAAUAAUAUCUUUAUAAUCCAGGAAGUAAAGUAUCAUUAUGCGAAAAGGGAGGGAUCUUUGUACACAGUCCAGGCCCUUCAAAGAGAUUACCAGACUUUUCGUGUAUGCAAAAUAACCACAGUCCCGGGCUGGCUCCAGCUCUUGCCAGCGUCAGUGGUGAAACCUGCACUAGGAGACAUGCAGGGUCCCCUGAGAUAGUCAUACAUGCUUUACAGACUCAUGAAGGAAAUGAACCAAAGAAGGAAAAGUCAAGACAAGACUGAGAGAAGACAAAACUUGCUCUAAGAAGCACCCAGCUAAUUUCCAGAAAGCUGCUUGUUUGCAGAUAGUAUGGUGAAAUUGUUCUGUGUGUUUUAAAGGGUCUGUGAGAUGACUGGAGUGUGAUUUGUAGUCUAUUCGUGUAUUUUAUUUCCCUAGCAUUUCGAUUUUCUUAGGAGUUUCAGAGUAAGAAGUACAUUGUAAAAGCCUGGAAGCUUUGUUUUGGGCGGGACUAUGGUCUAUUGAAAAGCAAGCCAACUUCAUUCUAGGCCUUGAAGCUUGACAGUGUCAUUUACAGAGUGACACAGUCACGCUAUAAGUGACCAGAGACAUUCCAGAGUUCAUGACUGUUGUUUAACAACAACACUUCAAGGGUGGCUGCAGGCACGAGGCACAACACGCCCGCCCUAGUGUGGUGAAUGUGGGGGAACCACUCCCUGCUGGAAUGUGGCAUUGCUCAAAGGCAGCCGGGCCUUCCUCUAUCCCCACCGACCUGGACAGACUGGAGGGACGACUCUAUUUUCAGGGAAUGACAAAUUGAUUGUGCUGAUUGGGUGAGAGUACUUAACUGCCUCCUGCGCUGCUUCCAAGGACAACCUGCAGGGAAGGUUUGUUUUGAAGUGACUUGUGUAAGGAAGCAUUGCAGUGCAAUGAGAACCCAAACACCUUGCUACCAAAGAGGACUUCAGCCCAGCCUUGACUAGACCAUUCAGGUCGAGGAGCCUUUUAUUCCCCAUGUUCCUAAAGCCAGCGAGUUACUGGAGAGGACAUUCCAUUCCACUGACAGAAAGAAGGAGACAAGAUGGCAGCUCUAAAUUACAUGUGCAAUAGCCCAGGAGGCUUGUAAACAUUUGAGGAGUUGAUCGUUAUUUUCAUUCCUGACUGGUUUGGUGGUGCAAAUAACAACUCCAUAAAUUGCUGAAGCCCAGCCAGAGUGCUGAGGACAUGCAUUUGUGGUCAUGACCCAUAGUGAGUGAUGAAUAUUCAUGGCAGAGUGAAUCUGAACUACUCCUGAAGCAGGUCAGCUGGUGUGUGAACUCAAAACAGGUCUUGGUAUGGAAAUCAAGUUUAUAGACUUAACCGAAGAAAAGUACUGAUGGUUAACAGCACGAUCAAGAAAUGUCACUACCCAGGAGCUGAGGGGGAGGGGAGCAGGGAGCUCUUGUUCCAUGGGUAGAGAGUUUCAGUUUUGCAAGAUGAAAUGCUCUAGAGAUCUGCUGCACAACAAUGUGCAUAUAGCUAAUCCUACCAUACAGUAUACUUCACAGUGAUUCAGAUGGUAAAUGUAUGUUCUAUUUUUUUUAUCACAAUAAAAAAGAGAAUAGAAUGUCUCUAUAGAGUCUAGUCUAAAAGAGCUCAAACCAAAUAUGUAGCUGUGUUCCUAUUCCCUGCUUCUGCUUCCAAUCCACCUCCAGGUAAUUUCUGUGCCAGGAAGGCAGGUAAAAGCUAUUCUCGGGCCACACAGAGGCCACUGUGGCCACUCUUUGGGCUUUCCAGAAACACAGAACUCUUGAAGUAAAUUUUUUGUUGUUGUUCAAUGAUCUAUUCCAAGUUUGUCCAGCUUGUGGCCCGUGGGCCGCACGCAGCCCAGGAUGGCUUUGAAGGUGCCCAACACACAUUCAUAAACUUUCUUAAAACAUUAUGAGUUUUUUUUUUUUGAAAUAGUCUCGCUCUGUCACCCAGGCUAGAGUGCAAUGGCUUGAUCUCAGCUCACUGCAGACUCCGCCUCCCGAGUUCAAGCGAUUCUCCUGCCUCAGCCUCCCGAGGAGCUGGGAUUACAAGCGCCCACCACCGUGCCCGACUAAUUUUUGUAUUUCUUAAGUAGAGACGAGGUUUCACCAUCUUGGCAAGGCUGAUCUCAAACUCCUGACCUCAUGAUCCAACCCCGUCGGCCUCCCAAAGUGCCGGCAUUACAGGCAUGAGCCACCGUGCCUGGCCAACAUUAUGAGAUUUUUUUGUGAUUAUUUUUUAAGCUUGUCAGCUGUCGUUAGUGUUAGUGUAUUUUAUGUGUGGCCCAGGACAAUUCUUCUUCUUCCCACGUGGCCCAGGGUAGCCAAAAGAUUGGAUACCCCUGACUAUUACCUCAGCAACUCAACAUAACCAGGGACAUAGUGGAUAACCUAAAAGAUAUACUUUGCCACGCUGAGGAUUGGAAAGUCCAGCCAGGGUGGGUAUAUUGCCUGGGCCAGAGAGGAAGGCUUGAUAAUCUCUCGUCUCUUCUUCCCUCUUCACCCAGACCCCCUGCUGGCUCCCAACACCUUCUACCCCCAUAUGCACCAUCCAAAGGGACUUUCCCUCUCUAACCACCAGGGUCUCCAGUGGUGAGCAAAGAUGAUGACAAAAGACAUGAUGUGGUUUCUGCUCAGUUAGAAGCACAAGAAGAACUUUCAAACGGCCCUUAGAAGGGAGAAAAACCCAAGAGAGGAAGGAAGUCUGUCAACCUGCAGCUACAGACUUUACCCUGCCUUUUUUUUUUUUUUUUUUCAGUCUUGCAGAAAUGUAUGCCUCUCUUUAGGAGAAGCCCACCAAGUGCCCAGUGGCCUUCAGCUGAACUCAGAGAGAUGGGUUGAGGGUCCCUACUAGCAAAGUUCAUCUCCAUACCAUCAUCUUGGAGUGCUCACAUCUCUGAUGUGAACAAGAUUCAGACCUGAAUUUAAGGGAUGCUUCUCUCAUUUCUAAGUUAUAUAGUUAGUUUUAGAAGAUUCCUGUCUUCCUUCCUUUUCUUUCUUUUCAGCCAAUCCUUUUAAGAGCA